GAUGAAGAACGUAGCGAAAUGCGAUACUUGGUGUGAAUUGCAGAAUCCCGUGAACCAUCGAGUCUUUGAACGCAAGUUGCGCCCGAAGCCACUAGGCCGAGGGCACGCCUGCCUGGGCGUCACACGCCGUUGCCCCCCCAUCUACUCCUUCGGGAUUGCGGGGGGGCGGAUGAUGGCCUCCCGUGCGCCUAGCCGCGCGGUUGGCAUAAAUACCAAGUCCUCGGCGACGCACGCCACGACAAUCGGUGGUUGCGGAACCUCGGUUGCCCGUCGUGUGCGUUCGUCGCGCAUCGAGGGCUCGAAAAAAUGCUCGGCUCCGGCUGGGCUUUCAACGCGACCCCAGGUCAGGCGGGGUUACCCGCUGAAUUUAAGCAUAUCAAUAAGCGGAGGA
rnacentral:misc_RNA from 1 species